UACGAAGGGGGCUAGCGUUGCUCGGAAUCACUGGGCGUAAAGGGUGCGUAGGCGGGUCUUUAAGUCAGGGGUGAAAUCCUGGAGCUCAACCUGGGAACAGCAUUUGAAACUGAAGAUCUUGAGGGUAGUCGGAGAAAAUGGAAUUCCACGUGUAGCGGUGAAAUGCGUAGAUAUGUGGAAGAACACCGGUGGCGAAGGCGAUUUUCUAGAUUAUACCUGACGCUGAGGCGCGAAAGCAAGGGGAUCAAACAGG
rnacentral:rRNA from 1 species